AUGUACAUUUCACAUCUUUGGAUAUUUUUUGGUGCUUUGGUGUCUUCAAAUGGAUGCAUAUAUGUCACCGUCAACGCCUCUCUGAAAUCUGAAGUCUAUCUCCCAUGUCACUUUGAUAUAAACCAUUACAAUGGAACAUUGGCAGUGAAUUGGAGACGCCAUUCCACUAUUAAGAGUCUUGUUACGAUCAUGACUGAUGGCAAAAUCAUCUUUGGUAGUCCUAGUGAAGGACGAGUGAAUGUUUUUCCCCUUCUGUCUAAACAUGGAAACUUCUCUAUCCUCAUCCAUGAUCUGCAGUCUUCAGACAUUGGCACCUACAUUUGUGAGCUGAACAGUGAAUGCUGGAGGGUGAAAAUCAUUGAACAGUACAGAAUCAGUGAGUCAAACUCCUGGCUCUACUUUGCAGCUGGAGCUGGAUUGUUUAUUCUCCUUUUUAUUGCAUUUAGCCUGUUAUCAAAAUUCUGUGGAAAGUGUGUAGAUACAUCAUCCAAAUCGAAUCCAGUUAAUGGAGUACGGAGUGAAGGUAGUAAUUCCCCCGAAGAAACACAGAAUACAGAAAGCAGUGAGCAUAGAAACAAAAACAAGAGGGGUGUGAGGAGGGGCCCUACAACUGUUUAUGAAAAUGACAUACAUGCUCCAAAUCAAAGUUCUGCUGUGCAGCCGGGGCAACAUCCUCAAAGAGCCUUUAGAGCCGUUCCCGAGCCAACAAGAAGUCAUCCUUCGGAUGCAAAACCAUACUACGUCAACCAGGCGGAGCUCUUCAUUCCAGUAAAUGCUGGCAAAAAACGGAAAAAACUAAAACGUGAUUACUUUUCAUUGUUCUGAAUUAAACGUCAUUUAUUUUGCAUAUAAAUGAAGGUUUAUUAAGGCACUUUUUUAUAUCAAUUACUGUAGCUACUGUAGUGUAAUUAUAUGGUUUUCUUUCAUUUCUCUGACAGAAAAUGUGUAUAAAAAUCCAAUAUAUGGAGACUGAAGUGAGACAGUGACAGCAGAAUAAUACAUGUUUCAAUCAGCAUAACAAAAUUGUUCAUUAUAAACAGUUCAAUAUCUCAAUAAAUUCUGAUGUUUAAUGAUUCA
ensembl:lncRNA